CUCCCCGGGAACACAGGAAGACGGGGUUUUUUUUCCUCUCCCACUUCUUCUUAAAGCUGGAACCGACCGUCAGUCUCUCCCAGCACGCCCGUGGCUGAGGAUUCACGUCAAAACUGCCUGGUUCCGCCCAGUCCUCUCUCAGACUCUCUGGGAGGGAGGGAGCUUAGAGCUACUUUCUUCCUCCCCCUCCCUCUGACAAUCAGCAAUUCACAGCUUCCUCUCCCCACUACAUUGUUUCCACUUUGACCUUUUGUUUCCAUACGCCUGUCCAUAUUUAUUUCUUUUAAGAGGAAAGGAACGUAUUUGUAAACCAGCAGUUGAGUUGUGUGAGGUCUCUAUCUCUCUCUCUCUCGCUCCGUCUCUCUCUGAGUAAGAUCUGGCGGGUGGUACCGUCCAUUGACGUAGCGCGUUGUCUAAAAAUGGAUAUUUGCGUCAAAUGAUGCGAGGUGUGUGUUUCCUCGGUUAAUGUGACGUCUGUACGGAGGGAUUCCCUUUUCGUGCUGUUGGACAGAGAUUCAAUCGCCCCUCCACUCUCACACGCACACUCCUGCCCCCGUCCCCCGUCCCCUCCCCCUCCUCUGAGAAUGAAGCCAAGAGUGUAUUCCUGCCAGUGAUGAUUUUUGGCUUGUUUGCACCACCUACCUUCCCUCUCCAAAUAUUUUACCUUCCACCCGCCACUAAAGUCAAAGACCCCCGGCCCCCCUGUCCAUUCCUUUUCUCGCUGGCUCCUUCCUGUUUUGUCAGCGUUACCGCUGGAUCCAGGGACAGAGAGACUUAGGGACAGGAGGCGACAGGAAAACGUGUGUCCAUGGCGAAACCCCUCCGCGCGGUUCUGGAGAUGGUCUCCCAGAUAUAAAUGCAAGCGGGGAGUUCGCCCAAGGAGCUUUCUCUCUCUCUCACACACACACACACACACACACACUAACCAUACCUAGCUGCCAUCGAAAUGCAAAAUAGCGUCUGGGUUUCGGAGGGCUUCAUUCAAUUAUCCAGUUCCCGAGUGUUUCAGAACCUUUUACUGGAAUAAAAAGGUCGCAAGUAUCAGACUGAGUGUACAAUAGGGAAGCGAAGUGAAAUGUGUCUGCUGGAACCUAUGCAAAGACAGUCCGAAUUUGUGGAUCUGGCGGCAUCGUCCUUGGGUCCAGUGGAUUACCGGUCUCCACCCCCCCCCCACC